AUGCCCUGUCACCUCAUACGCAAGCAGCCUCCCCAGAGGCACAGCAUUGAUGAUUUUUACUCCGUUUUAAGGAGGUGCUGGAGUUGGGAUGUUACUGAAAGUGAAAGGUUUCCUCACUGUCUUUGUGAAAUUUGGCAGACAGGCUUCCUCAUUUCUCCAGCAGCCCAUGCAGUCAUUCACCGCUCACAUGAAGCAACUUGGACAAAAGUUGCAUCUCCUCUCCAGCCUCAUGAAUAUUCAUGUGAAGUGGGCGUCGACAGGCGACCGCUGGCCUUAAAUAGACAGAGCAUCUGUACCUCCAGCACCCACCAAAAGAAACUCUGAGGAUAAACCUUAACAAGGACUUAUCAUCUGAGCGGGUUCUGCAACAAUUACAAGUGAGUAGAUGUUUUGCUUAUUAAUGUUUUUUGGGGGGUUUUCUGCUUAGAUGCUGUAAAAUUUAACAUACACUUUAAAAAUGAUUCGAAUUUAAACUUUAAGAGACUAUUAACCAGUUAUUUAUUUUACAAUAAUUUCCUUUAUUCUAUAUGGUGAAAAACUGUGAAAGACUGAAUGGACUUUUUAUGCAAUUUUACAGUAAAAAUCCUGAUAAAUGUAUUUGACACUUUUUGAAGUGAAAAAGAACAAGUCACAUCUCACAUUUAAUAGUUUUCAAUUAAUAUAAUUAAUAUUUACCAGUGUUAUUUUAGUAUAAUUGAGAUACUAGUUUUUUUGUAAUAUUUUAAAUCAGUUUUUAUAUUUUCUGUUGUCAUUUUGUUUUUAAAAAAUAGUCUAGAUAUAAUUUUAGAUUAUAUCUAAUAUGUAAUAUUUAAAUAUAAUUCUAUAUUUUAUGUAAAUCGUUUUUAUUCAUUUUUAUUUGGGGUUAAGUUUGAAUCAUUUUACUACAUCAAGUUCAACUACAUUAAACUAAGAAAUUUUGUUUUGGAAAUGUUAUUUAUUUUACCUUAUUUCAGUCAACAUUUAUUUUAUUUUAUGAAACGGAUCCUUGAUUCUGAUUGGUUGAGCCACAUUCGAAGCUGUUGUAAAUUACACUACAAACAUACACCUUUGUUUAUUUUGUUGCAACCACAACUGUUUCUGAGGAACUAUAUUGUUUGGUGGAAGAAUACUGUUUUCAUUAAUAUCACUUUAUGUGCUCUGUUUUAUUCUGUGAAACCUUACUACGUAUAUGGAAUAACCGUUAUAUAAAAGCAAUAAUUCUUGUGAAGCCGUGGUUUACAGUGAAUUUAUAACAGCUAAGUGCCUAACAAUGCCCCUUAGCUGUGAUAAAUUCACUGUAAACCACAGCUUCUUGGGGCUUAUUGCUUUAUCACGUAAUAAUUUUUUUUUUUAUGGUUUUAAUUAUAGUUUCAGUUUUAGUUAACUAUAACAACCCUGGUAUUUAUCUCAGCUUCAUCAUGCAUACUUUGAAAAAUAUUUGAAUUAAAUACCCCACUGAAAUAUGGAAAUAAAGUGAUUUAUGAACAGCA
ensembl:lncRNA